rnacentral:rRNA from 1 species
UGCGGUAAUUUGACCGUGCAAAGGUAGCAUAAUAAGUAGUCUUUUAAUUGAAGGCUUGUAUGAACGGUUGGAUGAGGGAAAAGCUGUCUCUCUGGCAAUCUAAAAUUUGACUUUUAAGUGAAAAGGCUUAAAUAAAAUAGUGGGACGAUAAGACCCUAUAAAACUUUACAUGUGGUACGCUUUUUUUUAAAAUUUUAAUUAAACUUUGGAAAGUGUUCUUCAUGUUUUGUUGGGGAGACAUUGAUAUAAUUUGUAACUGUCUAAAUAAAACAUAUAAUAAUCAUUAGAAUUUGAUCCUUCUUUGUGGAUAAAAAGAAUAAGUUACUUUAGGGAUAACAGCGUAAUUUUUUCUGAGAGUUCUUAUCGAAGAAAGUAGUUGCGACCUCGAUGUUGAAUUAA